rnacentral:rRNA from 1 species
UACGAAGGGGGCUAGCGUUGCUCGGAUUGACUGGGCGUAAAGGGCGCGUAGGCGGAUAGUACAGUCAGGCGUGAAAUUCCUGGGCUCAACCUGGGGGCUGCGUUUGAUACGUAUUGUCUGGAGUUCGGAAGAGGGUCGUGGAAUUCCCAGUGUAGAGGUGAAAUUCGUAGAUAUUGGGAAGAACACCGGUGGCGAAGGCGGCGACCUGGUCAGAUACUGACGCUGAGGCGCGAAAGCGUGGGGAGCAAACAGG